rnacentral:rRNA from 1 species
GACGAACGCUGGCGGCGUGCCUAAUACAUGCAAGUCGAACGAACCGCGACUAAGUGCUUGCACUAAGUCAAGGUGAGUGGCGAACGGGUGAGUAACACGUGGGUAACCUACCUCAUAGUGGGGGAUAACAGUCGGAAACGACUGCUAAUACCGCACAGGACAUAGGAUCACAUGAUCGAGUGAGGAAAGGUGGCGCAAGCUAUCGCGCAGAGAUGGACCCGCGGUGCAUUAGCUAGUUGGGCGGGUAAAGGCCUACCAAGGCGAUGAUGCAUAGCCGACCUGAGAGGGUGAUCGGCCACAUUGGGACUGAAACACGGCCCAAACUCCUACGGGAGGCAGCAGUAGGGAAUCUUCCGCAAUGGACGCAAGUCUGACGGAGCAACGCCGCGUGAGUGAAGAAGGUCUUCGGAUCGUAAAGCUCUGUUGUUAGAGAAGAACAGCGCAUAGAGUAACUGCUAUGCGUGUGACGGUAUCUAACCAGAAAGCCACGGCUAACUACGUG